UACGUAGGGUGCGAGCGUUAAUCGGAAUUACUGGGCGUAAAGCGUGCGCAGGCGGUUUUGGAAGCCAGAGGUGAAAUCCCCGGGCUUAACCUGGGAAUGGCAUUUGGGACUGCAAGGCUGGAGUUUGGCAGAGGAGACUGGAAUUCCUGGUGUAGCAGUGAAAUGCGUAGAUAUCAGGAGGAAUACCGAUGGCGAAGGCAGGUCUCUGGGCUAUAACUGACGCUCAUGCACGAAAGCGUGGGGAGCAAACAGG
rnacentral:rRNA from 1 species